CGAACUGGUGAACCCCAGGCUGCUGAAGCAGAGCAUGCAAACUUAACCACUGCACCACCAGCCCUGAGCUAACAUUUGCCACCAAUUCUCCUGUUUUUUGCUGAGGAAGAUUGGGCCCUCCUCCAGUUUAUAUGUGGGACACCUGCCACAGCAUGGCUUGCCCCCCGGUACAUAGUCAUAUAUUCUUCGUUGUGGGUCCUUCCAGUUGUGGCAUGUGGGACGCUACCUCAGCGUGGUUUGAUGAGCAGUGCCAUGUCCGCACCCAGGAUUCGAACCAACAAAACACUGGGCCACCUGCAGUGGAGCGCGUGAACUUAACCACUCGGCCACGGGGCCAGACCCUCCUUUUUGAUCACUUCAUUAUAACUAUACAGAUCUUGAUUUUAAUGUUAAAAGAGAGAAAUGACAAGAAAAAUUCAGGGAAUAUAAUAUAUUAUUUUAAAACACAUCCUUUUCCCCAUAAAUGAACCUCUCAUUAUUUGCAUAUCUGUGUGUAACUACAAUGGAAAAAUAAAAUAAC
rnacentral:lncRNA from 1 species